rnacentral:rRNA from 1 species
CGUAGACUAGGUGAAUCAUCGAAUCUUUGAACGCACCUUGCACUUUAAGAGUCGAUCUUAAAGUAUACCUGUUUGAGUAUCAUAAACAUUUAUCCAAUUUAUUGGGAUUUGAUAGAUCAAUUAGUACGCUGAUUGGCUGUUUAAAUGUAGUAGGGAAUCAGGGAUAAGCGCGAUUAUUUCUUGAAUGAGGAUAUUUACUCUUGUAGUAAAGUAAUCAGGAAAGAAUAAGAAGCGGAUCAAUGAGACUACUUAAACUUUCACUCUUAGUAAAAAAGAGAGAAAAUUAGUACAACGUGAUCUCAAAUCAGGCAAGACUACCCGCCGAACUUAAGCAUAUCAAUAAGCGGAGG